CCAACUAGUAGUUACUGUAGUACUUAGGUAGCACAGUGUUUAUUAUUGUCUCUGAUCUCUAUCUUGAUUGCCUUAAAGAAGUUAUCACUUCCACACUUGUACUACUACUACUACUUUUCUUUCAAGAGAACUGGUCCCACUGACUCUUUGUCUUCAUUGCCCGAUCUGAGUCUGAUCUCUCAUCUCUUCUUCUCCCACUUGCUAAAUCUACAUUUAAGACCUGAAAGGUGUCUUCUUCCUUUUUUCUCCGUCAAAGUCUACAUUGGUGUUUUACUUUUAGACAAACUGUGUUUCAGCUUUUUUGUUUGUGUGUGUCCACCUCAAAGCAGAAAUCUAAAACUCUGAAAAAGGUUGGAUCAUCAUUUGCUUGUGUUGGUGGAUAUCUUCACUUUUUCGUUCUGAGGUUUUAUGGUUUAAUGGAAGAUAAACCGGUGGCUUCAUCGAACCCAAACCUGCAAGUGUCGGUUUCAUUUCGUAGGUUUGAGGAUGGGAUGAUAUACUUUCAUGGGAGAAGUUCUCUGCUUUCUCUCCAAACAAGUACUCGGAGGAAGUUGGUAAGUUUUGCAACUCCGGGUUCAGUUUCUCAAAAGAAGGCCUAUUUUGAAGCUCAUUACAAGAAGGUCGCUGAGAGGAAAGCUGAGAUCAUGGAUCAUGAGAAACAAAAAAUGGACAAGAACAUGUCUUUUAGAUUGGUCGUUACAGAUCAGGGAAGUAUGGAAGGCGAAAUUGGUGAAGAAUGUAAUUAAUGGGAAAAUUCACUUGUGAAGAAGAUAAGCAUGUGACUGACAUUGCUAUUCAAGUGAGUGUAGACGAGGUUAACGAAGAAACUAGCUAUCAUCGUCAAGGAAUGUUCAAAGCUCGGUUGAUCAGGUGAAAGAAGAAGAAGUUGACAACAGUCUUGGUUGUCUUAAGCUGGAAGAGGUACUACAAGUGCAUGAGAAAGAAGAGAUAAAGGUGGGAGCGAACGUUCUACCGAAUCAUACAAAAUGCAACGCCAAUAAAGGAGACAGAGAAACCCUCAAAACUAACCAAGAAGGCUGGAAAUGUGGUGAUCAAUCGCACCAGAAACUCUCACAAUUUCCAACUUCCAAGGUAUUGGGCACAGCAAAUAGACAAAUACAUGAGAAAGGUAAACUGUAUAUAGCUUGUAAUAUAUGAUCUAUGUGAUUGUGACGACAGAUGGAAAUUGUUUGAUAAAACAGAAGGUUUGCAAGAUAUAAUAUAUAAUGAAGAACUACGAGGGAUUUGAUAGAAUAA